rnacentral:rRNA from 1 species
UACAGAGGUCCCGAGCGUUGUUCGGAUUCAUUGGGCGUAAAGGGUGCGUAGGCGGCUGGGUAAGUUUGAUGUGAAAUCCUGGGGCUCAACCCUGGAACUGCAUUGAAUACUGCUCGGCUAGAGUACUGGAGAGGAAACUGGAAUUCACGGUGUAGCAGAGAAAUGCGUAGAUAUCGUGAGGAAGACCAGUGGCGAAGGCGAGUUUCUGGACAGUUACUGACGCUGAGGCACGAAGGCUAGGGGAGCAAACGGG